rnacentral:rRNA from 1 species
UUUAUUGAGAGUUUGAUCCUGGCUCAGGACGAACGCUGGCGGCGUGCCUAACACAUGCAAGUCGAACGAAGCUCGAAGCUCUGAGAUUUCGGUCAAGGAGCGGAGAUGACUUAGUGGCGAACGGGUGAGUAAUGCGUGAGCAACCUGCCUUUCAGAGGGGGACAACAGCUGGAAACGGCUGCUAAUACCGCAUAAUACAUUUGGGUGGCAUCAUCUGAAUGUCAAAGGAGCAAUCCGCUGGAAGAUGGGCUCACGUCUGAUUAGCUAGAUGGCGGGGUAACGGCCCACCAUGGCGACGAUCAGUAGCCAGUCUGAGAGGAUGAACGGCCACAUUGGGACUGAGAU